AAGGGCUGGAUUCAUGGAAAGAUAAUGUGUGAAUUUGGUUUUAUCAUGGAAUACUUUGGUUUCUCCAUCUAUAGUAAUUGAGAGUUUGGCUAGGUAUAGUAGCCUGGGCUGGCAUUUGUGUUGUCUUAGUGUCUGUAUAACAUCUGUCCAGGAUCUUCUGGCUUUGAUAGUCUCUGGUGAAAAGUCUGGUGUAAUUCUGAUAGGCCUGCUUUAUAUGUUACUUGACCUUUUUCCCUUGCUGCUUUUAAUAUUCUAUCUUCAUUUAGUGCUUUUUUUGUUUUAUUAUGUGUUGGGAGGAAUUUCUUUUCUGUUCCAGUCUAUUUGGAUUUCUGUAGGCUUCUUGUAUGUUCAUGGGCAUGUCUUUCUUUAGGUUUGGGAGGCUUUCUUCUAUAAUUUUGUUGAAGAUAUUUGCUGGCCCUUUAAGUUGAAAAUCUUCAUUCUCAUCUACUCCUAUUAUCUGUAGCUUUGGUCUUCUCAUUGUAUCCUGGAUUUCCUGGAUGUUUUGAGUUAGGACUUUUUUGCAUUUUCCAUUUUCUUUGAUUGUUGUGCAGAUGUUCUCUAUGCAAUCUUCUGCACCUGAGAUUCUCUCUUCCAUCUCUUGUAUUCUGUUGCUGAUGCUCACAUCAAUGAUUCCAGAUUUCUUUCCUAGGUUGUCUAUCUCCAGCAUUGCCUCACUUUGGGUUCUUUUUAUUGUGUCUACUUCCCUUUUUAGGUCUUGGAUGGUUUUAUUCAAUUCCAUCACCAGUUUGGUCAUGUUAUCCUGCAAUUCUUUAAGGGAUUUUUGUGGUUCCUCUUUAAUGGCUUCUACCUGUUUAGCAGUGUUCUCCUGUAUUUCUUUAAGUGAGUUAUUAAAGUCCUUCUUGAUGUCCUCUACCAUCAUCAUGAGAUAUGCUUUUAAAUCAGGGACUAUCUUCUCGGGUGUGUUGGGGUGCCCAGGACUGAGUGGGGUGGGAGUGCUGCAUUCUGAUUAUGGUGAGUGGUCUUGGUUUCUGUUAGUAAGAUUCUUAAGUUUGCCUUUCACCAUCUGAUAAUCUCUGGAGUUAGUUGUUGUAGUUGUCUCUGGUUAGAGCUUGUUCCUCAGGUGAUUAUGUUAGCCUCUAUCAGCAUACCUGGGAGACUAGCUCUCUCCUGAGUUUCAGUGUUCAGAGUACUCUCUGCAGGGAAGGUGCCCAGAUAUCUGGUGUCUGAACCUGCCUCCUGGCAGAAGUUGUGAUCCACUCACCAGAGGUCUUAAGAUCCCGUGGAGGGUCCUCUGGGUAGCUUGUGGGUGUCCGCAGACUUCGUGCCCAAGGUACCCUUGUGCUGGCAUCCACAAAUGCAUUUUUAUUAUUAAUUUUUUUUUACUGAAAUUGAAUGGUGGAUGACCCACUGCAUUUUUCUAUUAUUAUUAUUAUUUAUUUUUAUUAUUUAAUCUUUUUUUACAGUCCUAUCAUUAUUCCCUUCCAGUCAGCUAUAUGACAGUUCAUCCCCCAUCUCUAAAAGGAUGUCCUCACACUCUACCCAGCCCACCAAACCUCACCAUUACCUGGGGCCCCAAGUCUUCAGACCAGUCAGUACUCUGCUGUAUGUGUUUCUGAGGCCUCACAUCAGCUGGUGACUCAGUGCCUGAGAGAUCUCAGGGGUCCAUCCCAACAAGCAACUGAAAGAGCCAGAUGCAGAUACUUACACCUAACCAAUGGACAGAAGGAGAGGGAACCUUUGUGGUUGAAUUAGGGAAUGACUGGCAGAAGUCAAGGAAGGCGAUCUCAUAGGAAGAUUACAGCUAGUAUAAUUAUGCAGCUAAAACUUUUAUUGAAGGCAUUAUGUUCAUUACAUUAUAUAUUAAAAAUUAAUUCCGUCCUAUUACUUUUUUUUAAUUCUUUACAUCUUUGGUAAAAUAGCCUAAGAAUAAUACAACCUAAGUUUUAAGCCUAUGAUGUAUAUCUUCUUUUACAACUAUUAGUUAGUGUCACAUUCUGUAUACUUUGGAAUAAUAUUUGAAAUGUGCAAAAUGCUUGAGCAGAAUGCUUUAUUGUCAUAUGAUAUUCCUCAUAUUUUAUAAGAGAAAUGUGGUUUAGCCAAAAGUAAAUACACAUGGAUUUAUUUUUUUUUUUGUAUUUAUUAGUGUUCCUGGAAAAUGAUGUUUUUUUUCCUACCAUCAGUUUUUUAAAUAAGCCAGUGUUUUAUUAGCACUUAUUUAAAUUAAGCAAAUAGCAUACCAGUAACCUUUACUCAUUUCUCAUAGCUCGUAAUCAGGGGGUCAAACACAUUUGUAAGCAUAAACCAACAAAUAAAAAGUAUAAAAUGCUUUAUUCCGCUAUACUGAUUAUAUGAAAUGAUUUCAGGCUUUUUGUCCUUGUGCAUAGGUCUUCUUGUCAUCCUGCUGGCUUGCUUUGCUACAGGGGUUACAUUGUAAUUCCACCAUCACUGGUAGAAAUGUGCUCAGCAGCUUUUUUAUUUUUACAUGGCGUAAACAUCUAUGGACCAUCUGUAUGCCUCAUCUGUGCUUGCUCUGUUGUGGAAUCUGCCCUCCUACAUGAGGAAAAAAAUAAAACUGUGCAUCACUGGUGACACAAAAGUAUUGAAAUGUUUCAAUAAUCAGUAGUUAUAGGAGUAAUGUCGUUCUCUGUAGAAAAUGAAUAGGCAGAUGUCAUUCCAAAGCACUGAGGUGUUUUUCUGCCUCUUUGAAAAGCAGGAGGUGGAGUGGAUAGCAGAUACAAUAGAGCUUUGCUUCUUUUCUCAAAGUAGAAAGUCAUCACUUGGUUCCAUAAAGGCUGGUGCUUUCCUAAAAUUGAGUGGGAACAGCACGAAUG
rnacentral:lncRNA from 1 species